AUCAUGUUUUGUCGUCUUUCACUGGUUGGUUGCUCCCCGCAGUGUGUAGAUUUGUUGCGUGGCUUCUAGAGAAAGCGUAGUGGGGGAGAGCCAGAGAGAGAGAGAGAGAGAAGACCUGCAUCCGUCUGGGUUUGUGACUUUGAGAUCGACCGAGAGCACCUGGUACUCCUUCGUCAAUCUUUGAUCCUCCAAAAUUUGUUUUUGUUUUAGAAUUGAACCAUCUGUUUGUAUGAAAUAUCAAUCUGUAUUUGAUGUUUGAUUCUGGGUUCAAAUGGAUUAUGAAACAAGGAUCAAUUCUUUGGGAUCCUUCUUUUCUUCUGGCUUCAAUAGAUAUGAUCGCUUUCUUAAAAAAAGAUUGUGGGAACUGAUCAUCGGGGCAAAUUACAUGGCGGAGUAACAACAGGGUGUGCCCUUAACCCUAGAUAUUCUGCGUUUGAUGAUGAGAGCAUAGCAUAGGAUUUGGGACUGUUGAUCAUGUUGUGGUGAGUCAAAGAGGUUCAUGUGCUUCCUUCCAUUUUGGAUCUUUACUUGGGUUUCUAGAGUAUUUUUCUCAAUUGUAUUUGCACUUUGUUUUGUGCUCUUUCAUUUUCAGUUUCAUGUUCAUUGUAAUUUUUCUUUCAUAAGAGGUAAAGUUGAUGUCCCCCUCUUCAAUUGUACUUUGUUUAUGAAAAAAAAUGGAGUACUUUCUUUUCUUA